ensembl:misc_RNA Y_RNA Y RNA
UGCUGGUCUGAGUGCAAUGGUGUUUAUAACUAAUUGAUCACAAAUGGUUAGAUUUCUUUGUUCAUCCUCCCCUUUCCAACAGUUUCACUUGACGAGCCUUAA